GCCAUGGAAACGAGUCUCUCGCCCGACCCCAAUUCACACCGGGCUCUAUAAUGUGGUCUGGCUGGAAUGUUGUGCAAAAGGUUAACUGUCAGCAAAUAACCAGCCGGGGUAUCACGGCUCUCGAUAUGAAUUAGGAACAGGAGUAAAGCAUUGGGCCCCUCAAGUCUGCUCCUGCUUUCAUGGACCCUUCAUAUUUGUCUUGGAAUAAUUUAAUGCAUUGUCCCUCUUUAGUCGAGGUGCUGCCAGACCCUGCUGAGUUUUUCCAGCACUUUCUGGGUUUUUUUUUAAAUCCCAGAUCUCCAGCAUCCGCAGUGUUUUAUUCUUAUUAAACAGUCGAACAGAACUGGGAAGCUUGUUAGUAGUUUGAGAGCGGGACAGUGUAUGUCGGGGCUGCUUGCUCACGCCUCUCAAAAUAUCAACUACAAUACCAAGCAGAAAUCAAUCGAGACGAAGGCAGUGCAAAAUGCUGUUUCGGCAAGUGGGCAACAGAGCUGGAGAUUCAGCAAAAGACUCAAUCAAUUGUCCUUUUAUAAGGCACGUUAUCAGCAAACAAUUCUGCCAUCUAGUGGUCCGUUAGUGUUAUGCAAUCUCGCUUCCAAACACAAACCAUUGUCGCAAUUUAUGUCCCCCACUGUGCUUUUCUUCUACAUUUAGCCAGGUAAGAGGCAACAACAAAAAAAUCGAUCAGGAUGCUUUUAUUCACUGCUUCGAUUUCUGC